GAUUGGACACGUAAGUCAUGGCGCAAAUUCCAAAAGGUUCUUACCAAACCUAUCGCCUUUUUUCCUUUCUCGUUUUCAGUUGCUGCCGUUAUAAAUAAUUCGAUAUCGCCAAUCGAACAAUCACUUUCCUCUUCUACCGAAAUCGAUGCCGGUUGCCUUUGUUCUCCGUCGGAGCCGCUGCUCUCACCGUCGAUUUGUGAUUCUAGUCGAUGGUAGUCGAUGAUCCGAGGGAGAUGAACUUACUGAUUGUUCUUCUUCGAAUUUGUUUCUGCUUGGAGGAAUUAUGGAGCGGGAUUUGAACUGUGAUUCUAGUCGAUGGUAGUCGAUGAUCCGAGGGAGAUGAACUUACCGAUUGUUCUUCUUCGAAUUUGAUUCUGCUUGGAGGACUUAUGGAGCGGGAUUUGAACUGUGUCUACUUCCGAAAGAAUCGUUCAUUCUUCACUGAUCUGAUCUGUUUUAGUUGCAAAUUUGCUAGUCGAUUUGUGAUGUGAUCGAACAGAGAAAGUAAGGUUGCAG